rnacentral:rRNA from 1 species
AACGAACGCUGGCGGCAUGCCUAACACAUGCAAGUCGAACGAUGCCUUCGGGCAUAGUGGCGCACGGGUGCGUAACGCGUGGGAAUCUGCCUUUCGGUUCGGAAUAACUCAGGGAAACUUGAGCUAAUACCGGAUAACGUCGCAAGACCAAAGAUUUAUCACCGAAAGAUGAGCCCGCGUAGGAUUAGCUAGUUGGUGAGGUAAAGGCUCACCAAGGCGACGAUCCUUAGCUGGUCUGAGAGGAUGAUCAGCCACACUGGGACUGAGACACGGCCCAGACUCCUACGGGAGGCAGCAGUGGGGAAUAUUGGACAAUGGGCGAAAGCCUGAUCCAGCAAUGCCGCGUGAGUGAUGAAGGCCUUAGGGUUGUAAAGCUCUUUUACCCGGGAAGAUAAUGACGGUACCAGGAGAAUAAGCCCCGGCUAACUCCGUG